AAAUCUGACAAGAAAGUUGAUCGGAAAGGACGAGUGGUGCACUGUGGUCUUUGUGGUGAAUCAGGUCAUAACUCAAGGCGAUGUCCUCAUGAAGUAUGUGUCUAUCUUUUAGUCUUUAUUAUUGGUUAUCUUUUAUACAGUUGAUGUCUCAUUUUUUUUUUUGGAUAGUCUACUGAGAACAGGGCAAAGAGAAGAAGACUAAAUAAUGCACCUCAACUGGAAGCUCAAGAUCAAGCUGAAAUGGAAGCAGCAUUUGCAGCAAUGGAAGCACCUGAAGAAGUAAUGGAAGCACCUGAAGCAGCAAUNNNN
rnacentral:lncRNA from 1 species